rnacentral:tRNA from 1 species
AGAAGUUUAGGUUAGUAUCUUUUAAACCAAGGGCCUUCAAAACCCUAAACGGGACUCACAUCCCAAUUUCUG